UAGGGAAUAUUGGACAAUGGGUGAGAGCCUGAUCCAGCCAUGCCGCGUGCAGGAAGAAGGCGUUAUGCGUUGUAAACUGCUUUUUGCCAGGGGAUAAAAAGACCGUGCGCGGUUAAUUGAAGGUACCUGGUGAAUAAGCCACGGCUAACUACGUGCCAGCAGCCGCGGUAAUACGUAGGGACCAAGCGUUGUUCGGAUUUACUGGGCGUAAAGGGCGCGUAGGCGGCAAUUCAAGUCAUCUGUGAAAUCUCCGGGCUUAACUCGGAACGGUCAGAUGAUACUGCUUUGCUAGAGUGCAGAAGGGGCAAUCGGAAUUCUUGGUGUAGCGGUGAAAUGCGUAGAUAUCAAGAGGAACACCUGAGGUGAAGACGGGUUGCUGGGCUGACACUGACGCUGAGGCGCGAAAGCGUGGGGAGCAAACAGGAUUAGAUACCCAAGUAGUCCCUGAGCGGGCUGGCAAGGCGCAU
rnacentral:rRNA from 1 species